AUAAAUACAAUAAUGAUGAAUGGAAAAAAGAGAAAAUCCUUUAGCUAGAUAA
rnacentral:tRNA from 4 species